rnacentral:rRNA from 1 species
AAUUUAAAGUCUAACCUGCCCACUGAUAAUAUUAAAGGGCCGCAGUAUAUUGACUGUGCAAAGGUAGCAUAAUCAUUUGUCUUUUAAUUGGGGACUGGAAUGAAUGGUUGGAUGAAAUAUUAACUGUCUCAUUUUUAAAAAAAUAAAAAUUUAUUUUUUUAGUUAAAAAACUAAAAUAAAUUUAAAAGACGAGAAGACCCUAUAGAUCUUGAUAAUAAAUAAUUGUAUAAAAGAUAGAAUAAAAAUUAUUUUAUAUUUUAUUAUUAUUUUGUUGGGGUGACAGGAAAAUUUAUUUAACUUUUUUUAAAAUUUUAAGACCAAUGAUUUUUGAAUAUUUGAUCCAAUAUUAUUGAUAAUAAGAUUAAGUUACCUUAGGGAUAACAGCGUAAUUUUUUUAGAGAGUUCUUAUCGAAAAAAAAGUUUGCGACC